rnacentral:misc_RNA from 1 species
CCCACGUGCCUCACCCCCACC